AGCUUGAACUGUGAAGGCAUAGAUCUAUAUAGAGAAAGCUCUGAAGGAGGCUAGCCUCCCUCCUCGACCUCAGAGUGCUCCCUCUCCCUCCUGAUCCUGUCCAAUCAAUGCAAGGGCUAGGGGUCUCUGCAGAAGACAUGAAGAGUUAUGAUUUUUGGAGCCGCCUGCAUGCCUUAACAAGUAUAUCGGCGGAUAUAGGCUAAUGGUGGAAGGACUAGUAAAGUGCCAAUAAUUAUAUAACUGCAAACUGCUCAGGCCUACCCUUGAAUCUGUGUCCUCCUAUAA